rnacentral:rRNA from 1 species
AUACCUCAGGUCAGGCG